GUGCUCGCUUCGGCAGCACAUAUACUAAAAUUGGAAGGAUACAGAGAAGAUUAGCAUGGCCUCUGCAU
rnacentral:snRNA from 1 species